AUCUCAGAAUCAGAAAAACUAGAAAAUAAGAAAUGCCAAUGAAGAAGAUCAGAGACGUAACCGCUAAUUUUUCGAACCAAUUUUCACUUCCCUUCAAAUGAAGUCUAGAAAAUCACUGAAGCUUCCUUCUUUAUAGGACAAGAUAUGUUGUUCAUUGACAAGCUCUGAUGCAGAACACUUUUGUAUCUGCCAUUGCUCAAUACUUCCAUUUGAUCUCCCAAUUGAACAAUGAGAGCUCCUUCAAUGAGUGGAACUGAA